rnacentral:rRNA from 1 species
UGGGAGGACCAUCUCCUAAGGCUAAAUACUCUCUAGUGACCGAUAGUGAACCAGUACCGUGAGGGAAAGGUGAAAAGCACCCCGGAAGGGGAGUGAAAUAGAACCUGAAACCGUGUGCUUACAAGUAGUCAGAGCCCGUUAAUGGGUGAUGGCGUGCCUUUUGUAGAAUGAACCGGCGAGUUACGAUUUGAUGCAAGGUUAAGCAGUAAAUGUGGAGCCGUAGCGAAAGCGAGUCUGAAUAGGGCGUUUAGUAUUUGGUCGUAGACCCGAAACCAGGUGAUCUACCCUUGGUCAGGUUGAAGUUCAGGUAACACUGAAUGGAGGACCGAACCGACUUACGUUGAAAAGUGAGCGGAUGAACUGAGGGUAGCGGAGAAAUUCCAAUCGAACCUGGAGAUAGCUGGUUCUCUCCGAAAUAGCUUUAGGGCUAGCCUCAAGUGAUGAUUAUUGGAGGUAGAGCACUGUUUGGACGAGGGGCCCCUCUCGGGUUACCGAAUUCAGACAAACUCCGAAUGCCAAUUAAUUUAACUUGGGAGUCAGAACAUGGGUGAUAAGGUCCGUGUUCGAAAGGGAAACAGCCCAGACCACCAGCUAAGGUCCCAAAAUAUAUGUUAAGUGGAAAAGGAUGUGGCGUUGCCCAGACAACUAGGAUGUUGGCUUAGAAGCAGCCAUCAUUUAAAGAGUGCGUAAUAGCUCACUAGUCGAGUGACACUGCGCCGAAAAUGUACCGGGGCUAAACAUAUUACCGAAGCUGUGGAUUGUCCUUUGGACAAUGGUAGGAGAGCGUUCUAAGGGCGUUGAAGCAUGAUCGUAAGGACAUGUGGAGCGCUUAGAAGUGAGAAUGCCGGUGUGAGUAGCGAAAGACGGGUGAGAAUCCCGUCCACCGAUUGACUAAGGUUUCCAGAGGAAGGCUCGUCCGCUCUGGGUUAGUCGGGUCCUAAGCUGAGGCCGACAGGCGUAGGCGAUGGAUAACAGGUUGAUAUUCCUGUACCACCUAUA